rnacentral:lncRNA from 1 species
AUGUCUGCCGUGGGGCAGGGAUGGCCAAAGUUACUCCGUGAGCAAACGACAGAGCUGAGGCCAGUGCUCCCACCUGGACCUCUGACCUCCUGGACCACCUGCUCGGCCUUGAGGGACAGCCCUGCCUGGCCCCUUCCUCUGGGCGGAAGCGGUCGGGUCCCUCCUCAUCCCGCCCUGCCUGCUCCGACUCACCUCUCACUUCUGGCCCUUGGGGGCUCAACCCUUGAAAGGAGAUGGGAAUCCAGCAAGGCCAGGGCCCCUGCCUGGGAGGCCUGUGCUCCUCCAGCCCCGGGGACAGCAAGGAAAAGAGAAGAGAGCAGAGCAUUUCAUGGCUAUAAUAAAUCAAAGGGGGAAGUCGGAGCAGGAGAAAUAAGAAACUUCCCUACCCUGGGCACGGGGACCUGCCAGGCGGCAGCCCCCGGCGCCCCACGGCCUUCCCUCCUCCCUUCUGCAUCCCUGGCUGGGGCCCAGAUCUGGUGCCCCCUCCCCAGGCCUGGGCACCCCACCUGCCCAGAGUUUCCCUGGGCAUCCUACCAUCCUUCUCGUGGUGCAAAACACCUUUCACCUCUGGGCCUCAGUUUCCUCCAAUUGGGCAUGGAAGUUCCUCAAGUCGUGUGCUCGUCUGGGGAGGUGAGGAGUCAGACUGCCCAGCAGGGCGGGCUGGAAGCAGCUGCUGCCCCUCUGGACAAGGACCCUCAGGGCAUGAAGGGAGGGGUGAUAUAGCCUGAGAAUUCCCAGUGGGACAGUAGGCCUGGGAUGACAAACGUCUAUGAGAGGAGACGGGAGGGCCAAAGCAAGAGGCAAGAGCAUGGGGCAGAGGUGGGGAGAGCCCUGGACUGUGAGAACUGGCAGGGCCUUGGCCUCGGCUCUAUCCCUGCACUUUCUUAAACCAGACCCAGGGACCCAGGGCCUGAAGUCCAUGUUGCAAGGCAGCAGAUAGACGCAGCCACUGGAGGCACCAUGGCAUGUCUUCCUGGGAGUGUCCACUCAGGUAGAGACUGGAAGUGGAAACUCAUCUUAAAGAGCAGAGGAAAGCCCACCUACACAAAGGAUCCAGGGAGUUCUCCUGUAGCACAGUGGGUUAAGGACCUGGUGUUGUCACUGUAGCAGUGUGGGUCUCUGUUUUGGCUCAGGUUUGAUCCCUGGCCUAGGAACUUCCAUAAGCUGUGAGCAUGACCAAAAAAACUCCAUUUUAUUUAUUUAUUUAUUUUCUUUCUAGGGCCGCACCUGCAGCAUAUGGAGGUUCCCAGGCUAGGGGUC